AGCUCCAAUCGCGUAUAUUAAAGUUGUUGCGGUUAAACAGCUCGUAGUUGGACUUCCGCCGAAGACGACUGGUCCGCCCUGCGGGUGAGCAUCUGGGACGGCCUUGACAUCUUCUUGGAGAACGUGCCUGCACUUGACGGUGCUGUGCGGUAUCCAGGAUUUUUGCUUUGAGGACAUUAGGGUGAUUCAAACGGACCGACGCCUUGAAUACAUGAGCUUGGAAUAAUAAGAUAGGACAUCGGUUCUAUGUCGUUGGUUUCUAGAGCUGAGUUAAUGAUUAAUAGGGAUCGUUGAGGGCAUUCGUAUUUAACUGUAAGAGGUGGAAUUCUUGGAUUUGCUAAAGGAGGACUACUGCGAAAACAUUUGCCAAUGAUGAUU
rnacentral:rRNA from 1 species